UCUUUUUUCGCAAUAAACCACACAUGCACCGACACGUUCGGACGGGUGCCCGGCUUGAUCGGGUCUCCGAGCGGGGUGCAUGGAGGCUCAAC
rnacentral:sRNA from 1 species